GGGCGGGCUCCUGACUUGUAAUUUCCUCACUUUAUUGUCUUUCAGUUGUUCACCUUGUUGCUUGACUUUUAAUUUCUUCACCCUGUUCUUCAGGCAGGCUCCUGAUUUGUAAUUUCAUCACCUUAUUGCUUGACUUUCAAUUUCUUCACUUUGUUCUAUGGGCGAGCUCCCGACUUUCAAUUUUAUAACCCCUAUUCUUUGGGCAGAGACCCCGACUUGUAAUUUCCUCACUCUUGUUCUCUUGACAAGCCCCCGACUUUCUAUUUUAUCACCCUUAUUCUUCAGGUGGGCCCCCC
rnacentral:lncRNA from 1 species